rnacentral:rRNA from 1 species
GUGCCAGCAGCCGCGGUAAUACGUAGGUGGCAAGCGUUAUCCGGAAUUAUUGGGCGUAAAGGGUGCGCAGGCGGCCGAUUAAGUCUAAGGUAAAAGCGUGGAGCUCAACUCCAUUAAGCCUUGGAAACUGGUUGGCUAGAGUGCAGGAGAGGGUAGUGGAAUUCCAUGUGUAGCGGUAAAAUGCGUAGAUAUAUGGAGGAACACCAGUGGCGAAGGCGGCUACCUGGCCUGUAACUGACGCUCAUGCACGAAAGCGUGGGGAGCAAAUAGGAUUAGAUACCCUAGUAGUCCACGCCGUAAACGAUGAGCACUAAGUGUUGGAGAAAUUCAGUGCUGCAGUUAACGCAAUAAGUGCUCCGCCUGGGGAGUAUGCACGCAAGUGUGAAACUCAAAGGAAUUGACGGGGACCCGCACAAGCGGUGGAGUAUGUGGUUUAAUUCGACGCAACGCGAAGAACCUUACCAGGCCUUGACAUACCUUGCAAAGCUCUAGAGAUAGAGAAAUAGAUAUGGAGGAUACAGGUGGUGCAUGGUUGUCGUCAGCUCGUGUCGUGAGAUGUUGGGUUAAGUCCCGCAACGAGGGCAACCCCUGUCUUUAGUUACCAUCAUUCAGUUGGGGACUCUAAAGAGACUGCCGGUGACAAACCGGAGGAAGGUGGGGAUGACGUCAAAUCAUCAUGCCCCUUAUGGCCUGGGCUACACACGUACUACAAUGGCGUAUACAGAGGGAAGCGAAGUAGUGAUCGGAGCAAACCCCAAAAAGUGCGUCUCAGUUCGGAUUGUAGUCUGCAACUCGACUACAUGAAGUUGGAAUCGCUAGUAAUCGCGGAUCAGCAUGCCGCGGUGAAUACGUUCUCGGGUCUUGUACACACCGCCCGU